AGCCCGCUACCAGAAACUUAAAGGAAAGUUGACGGGGCCCGGCACAAGCGGAGGAGCAUGUGGUUUAAUUCGAUGAUACGCGAGGAACCUUACCUGGGCUCGAACGUAAGAUGACUGUAGGUGAAAGCUUACAUCUCUUCGGAGCAUUUUACGAGGUGCUGCAUGGUUGUCGUCAGCUCGUGCCGUGAGGUGUCGGGUUAAGUCCCAUAACGAGCGCAACCCCUACCUUUAGUUGCCAUCAGGUAAUGCUGGGGACUCUAAAGGAACUGCCUACGCAAGUAGUGAGGAAGCGGGGAUGACGUCAAAUCAGCACGGCCCUUACGUCCAGGGCUACACACGUGCUACAAUGGCCGAUACAGAGGGCAGCUACCUGGUGACAGGAUGCAAAUCUCCAAAGUCGGUCUCAGUUCGGAUCGGAGUCUGCAACCCGACUCCGUGAAGUUGGAUUCGCUAGUAAUCGCGCAUCAGCCAUGGCGCGGUGAAUACGUUCCCGGGCCUU
rnacentral:rRNA from 1 species